GCAUAUGUAGUGUAGUGGUUAUCACAGUUUUCUCACACACAACAGUUUCUCAGUUCGAUUCUGUGCAGGUGCC
rfam:Daphnia magna strain Xinb3 scaffold00640, whole genome shotgun sequence.